AGCGAACGCCGGCGGCAGGCCUAACACAUGCAAGUCGAACGAAGUCUUCGGACUUAGUGGCGGACGGGUGAGUAACACGUGGGAACGUGCCUUUAGGUUCGGAAUAACUCAGGGAAACUUGUGCUAAUACCGAAUGUGCCCUUCGGGGGAAAGAUUUAUCGCCUUUAGAGCGGCCCGCGUCUGAUUAGCUAGUUGGUGAGGUAAAGGCUCACCAAGGCGACGAUCAGUAGCUGGUCUGAGAGGAUGAUCAGCCACAUUGGGACUGAGACACGGCCCAAACUCCUACGGGAGGCAGCAGUGGGGAAUCUUGCGCGAUGGGCGAAAGCCUGACGCAGCCAUGCCGCGUGAAUGAUGAAGGUCUUAGGAUUGUAAAAUCCUUUCACCGGUGAAGAUAAUGACUGUAGCCGGAGAAGAAGCCCCGGCUAACUCCGUGCCAGCAGCCGCCGUAAGAC
rnacentral:rRNA from 1 species